CAUGCAGUCCGAGCGGUAAGGCCUUUCCGGGGUACACGAGCGGCGAACGGGUGAGUAACACGUGGGUGAUCUGCCCUGCACUCUGGGAUAAGCCUGGGAAACUGGGUCUAAUACCGGAUAUGACCAUUCCAUGCAUGUGGGGUGGUGGAAAGAUUUAUCGGUGCAGGAUGGGCCCGCGGCCUAUCAGCUUGUUGGUGGGGUAAUGGCCUACCAAGGCGACGACGGGUAGCCGACCUGAGAGGGUGACCGGCCACACUGGGACUGAGACACGGCCCAGACUCCUACGGGAGGCAGCAGUGGGGAAUAUUGCACAAUGGGCGGAAGCCUGAUGCAGCGACGCCGCGUGAGGGAUGAAGGCCUUCGGGUUGUAAACCUCUUUCAGCAGGGACGAAGCGUGAGUGACGGUACCUGCAGAAGAAGCACCGGCUAACUACCUGCCAGCAGCCGCGGUAAUACGUAGGGUGCGAGCGUUGUCCGGAAUUACUGGGCGUAAAGAGUUCGUAGGCGGUUUGUCCCGUCCUUUGUGAAAACCCGGGGCUCAACUUC
rnacentral:rRNA from 1 species